rnacentral:rRNA from 1 species
GACGUAGGGUCCGAGCGUUGUCCGGAGUUACUGGGCGUAAAGGGCGCGUAGGCGGUUUCUUGCGUCCCACGUGAAAUCUCCCGGCUCAACUGGGAGGGUGGUCGCGAGACGGCUAGGCUUGAGGCUCGGUGAGGGGCGUGGAAUUCCGGGUGGAGCGGUGAAAUGCGUAGAGAUCCGGAGGAACACCGACGGCGUAGGCAGCGCCCUGGCUGUGAAUAAAGCUGACACUGAGGCACGAAAGCUGGGGGAGCAAACAGG